GGGUACCUUGUUACGACUUCUCCCCCGUUGCUGACCCCAGGUUCGAUAACGCCAAUUAGGCGCCACCUCGCCAAGAACCAGCUUCGGUGAAGCGACGGGCGGUGUGUGCAAGGAGCAGGG
rnacentral:rRNA from 1 species